rnacentral:pre_miRNA from 1 species
UUUGUACUCCCUCCGUUCCAAAUUACAUGUCGCAGAAAUGGAUGUAUCUAGAACUAAAAUACAUCUAGAUACAUCCAUACCUGCGACAAGUAAUUCGGAACGGAGGGAGUACUAC